rnacentral:rRNA from 1 species
UACGUAGGGACCAAGCGUUGUUCGGAUUUACUGGGCGUAAAGGGCGCGUAGGCGGCGCGGUAAGUCACUUGUGAAAUCUCUGAGCUUAACUCAGAACGGUCAAGUGAUACUGCUGUGCUAGAGUGCGGAAGGGGCAAUCGGAAUUCUCGGUGUAGCGGUGAAAUGCGUAGAUAUCGGGAGGAACACCUGUGGCGAAAGCGGCUCACUGGACCACAACUGACGCUGAGGCGCGAAAGCUAGGGGAGCAAACAGG